rnacentral:rRNA from 1 species
GCUGGAAUCGCUAGUAAUCGCGGAUCAGAAUGCCGCGGUGAAUACGUUCCCGGGUCUUGUACACACCGCCCGUCACACCAUGGGAGUCGGAAAUGCCCGAAGUCGGUGACCUAACUGAAAGGAAGGAGCCGCCGAAGGCAGGUCUGGUGACUGGGGUGAAGUCGUAACAAGGUAGC